rfam:Schistosoma curassoni strain Dakar, Senegal genome assembly, scaffold: SCTD_scaffold0003686
AUCCAGUUGACGAGUCCAAAAUAGGACGAAGGGCGCGUCAAACUGGAU